rnacentral:rRNA from 1 species
AUCUUUGAACGCACCUUGCGCUCCUUGGUAUUCCGAGGAGCAUGCCUGUUUGAGUGUCAUGAAAUUCUCAACCUUUUCAGCUUUUUGUUGAAUAGGCUUGGAUUUUGGGAGUUGUUGCAGGCUGCUCAGAAGUCUGCUCUCCUUAAAUGUAUUAGCGGGGCC